CGCGUGUGUGAAGAAGGCCUUAUGGUUGUAAAGCACUUUAAGCGAGGAGGAGACUACUUUAGUUAAUACCUUGAGAUAGUGGACGUUCCUCGCAAAAUAAGCCCGGGCUAAUUCUGUGCCGCCGCCCGCGGUA
rnacentral:rRNA from 1 species